UGGUAACUAAGGUAAAAGUAUUGUGACUAUAGAACGUCUAUCCAACUAGAACGUCUAUCUGGAUACUAAGGAAAACGUUAGAAUUAUUUAAAUCAAAGUAGACAAGACGUAAAAUAACAACCUCACGAUAACGGUGGAGCACAGCGUGUGUUUGUUUUCUUUUUGUUAUCUUAUCCUUCACAUUUGUUUAACUAAGGAACGGAUUACGCAGAAGCUUCUUCGUUGUUCUUUUGUCCUACCGGCUAUAUAAAGUGAUCAUCCCUCCCUAGACGUCACAUUCUGCUUCGACAUUGCACGGCAUCAACAACGCAAUGAAGGUGCUCGUAGCAAUCGCGGUCUGCAGUCUAGCACUACUGGCCAGCGUAGCUUCGUCCCAUUCGCAACGCGACUUCGGCUUCGGACUCAGACCACCCCCGCACGACACCUGCAGGUACUGGUGCCGAACUCCCGAGGGGCAGUUCUACUGCUGCGAGGACGACGAGAACCCCCCCGGGCCCAUUGGCGUCAAACCUGGGCACUGCCCGCCAGUCCGACCUGUGUGCCCGCCGGCAAGGGCAUUCGGUCCUCCUGAACCUUGCUCCAAUGACUACAGCUGCCCAGGAUUUGACAAGUGCUGCUUCGACAGGUGUCUGGAGGAGCAUGUCUGUAAGCCUCCUAUCGGCGCUAUCGGUUCUGUGUUGGAUUGAGCCUGCCAACCCUGUUGCUGAGGGACAUCUCUAGACUAAAACCGAAUGCUUUGGGCUGCUUCAAAUCUCUUGAUAAUGUUAAAGGACAGAAUUAAGACAAAAAGGCUUGAUUUCUGUCUCGUAGGGGUUAGCACAUUUAGUUACUGCUAUUAAAAUAGCUGUCUCGAGCAGUCACAUUCAUUAGUCUUACGAUUCGGAUCACCUUAUUUUUUUAAAGUAUUGAAAUAACCCUUAUUUCUUCAAGGUUUAAUUUCCCUGACUGUUACCUGACAAAUCCAAUAUUCUGAAAGCAUGGAACAUUUCAAAACGCAAUUUACAAUGGAAACAAUUAUUUUCUGCAUGUAAUAAAAAAAAGGGAAUUAGUA